ACAUUGAAGCGUCAGUGAGUCAGGCUGGGGGUGGAGCUGAACACAAGAUUUACAGUAUUUAACACCUAAAGCGAAAUUAUAGCCAGCGUAGUCAACAAUGGCCCUCCAAUGGUUCCUGUGCUUUUUCUCUGUGAUGAUCAUUCUUUUUGGCAAAGAUGUUCAUUCACAGCAGCCUGAAUGUGGCAGGGUUAAUAAAAAUGGCAGAAUCGUAGGAGGUGAAGCUGCAACCCCUGGAAGUUGGCCCUGGCAGGCAUCUUUAUCCAAUAAUGGCUUUUUUUUCUGUGGAGGGUCUCUAAUCUCCAACCAGUGGGUGCUGACAGCUGCUCACUGCAUUACACCUGCUGAUCUUUCCACCACAGCCGUGACUCUGGGCCACAACACUGCGUCUGGUCCAAAUCCAAAUAAAGUGACUGUGGACCUUGCAGACAUCAUCUGCCAUCCCGACUACAACAAUUCAACAUAUGAGAACGACAUGUGCCUCCUGAAGCUGUCGGCUCCUGUGAAUUUCACAGACUACAUUCAGCCAGUCUGCUUAGCCUCAGCAGGCAGCACUUUCAACAAUGGGACCAGCAGCUGGGUCACUGGCUUUGGUACCCUAUAUAGUGGUGGCCCCACCUCAGACACUCUGCAGGAGGUGAAUGUACCAAUUGUGGGAAACAAUGAGUGCAAAUGUGACUUACAAAACUUCAAGCAAAUCACAGAUAACAUGAUCUGUGCUGGACUGAAAGAGGGCGGGAAGGAUUCAUGUCAGGGAGACUCGGGGGGACCACUCGUGACAAAAAACGAUAUGGGCAUCUGGAUCCAGAGUGGAGUUGUGAGUUUUGGUGAUGGCUGCGCCCUGCCUAAUAAACCUGGAGUCUACGCUCGUGUGUCCCAGUACCAAAACUGGAUCAGCACCACCGUCACCGGAACACCACCAGGCUUUGUUACCUACACCUCCAUGGGCUUUGACUUUGACUUAUUCUUCAACUGCCCCACAUCAACACCAAUCACUGGUUCUACCGAUUACCCACCCCCCAACCCCCCAUGUGACAGUGAGAGUUUGUUUUGCAGUGGUGAAAACCUGAUCCACUUCACUCACUUCACCUCUCUCUGUGUUCUUGUUGUGUUGCUCCAAGUGUUUUUUGGCAGUGGUGGAAUGUAACUCAACACAUUUCAAGUCCUGUACUUAAGUACUAACUUGAAAUAAUCAUUACUCCAAUAGAUUUAUGGGGCAGCUUAAGUUUCUGGGCACUUCACAAGGGAAACGAAACAGUUAUUAGUAAAAAUUAGACUAAUUGUUGAUCAUGUAAGAAGAAGAAUUGGACGGUUUAAAUAUUCGGACAUGAAAGAUUUCUUUACAAAUCUGAAAAUAGCAACAAUUUUUUAUCUUCUGUUUCUCAAUUACAGUGAUUUGCUAAUCUUUAUCUGAUGUAUUUUCAUGACUUCAGUAAAACUGCACCCUGGCAAAUUUAAAUUAAUACAUUUUAAACAUUAUUUAGUAAUUCUCUUUAAAUGUUAUCAUGUUACAUAUGGGCAUUUGUCUGUGGUAUGCUCACAGUUUGAUUAAAUUCUAUUCAAAUCUUGUUUUGGUAUCCUGACACUUUUGAUGAUUAAAGCAUGCAAUUUUAAAAUACAA